rnacentral:rRNA from 1 species
UGCCAGACUCCUACGGGAGGCAGCAGUGGGGAAUAUUGCACAAUGGGGGAAACCCUGAUGCAGCGACGCCGCGUGAGUGAAGAAGUAUUUCGGUAUGUAAAGCUCUAUCAGCAGGGAAGAAAAUGACGGUACCUGACUAAGAAGCCCCGGCUAACUACGUGCCAGCAGCCGCGGUAAUACGUAGGGGGCAAGCGUUAUCCGGAUUUACUGGGUGUAAAGGGAGCGUAGACGGCGAUGCAAGCCAGAUGUGAAAGCCCGGGGCUCAACCCCGGGACUGCAUUUGGAACUGUGUGGCUGGAGUGUCGGAGAGGCAGGCGGAAUUCCUAGUGUAGCGGUGAAAUGCGUAGAUAUUAGGAGGAACACCAGUGGCGAAGGCGGCCUGCUGGACGAUGACUGACGUUGAGGCUCGAAAGCGUGGGGAGCAAACAGGAUUAGAUACCCCAGUAC